rnacentral:rRNA from 1 species
AAUAGAUACCCGGGUAGUCCACGCCGUAAACGAUGUCGACUUGGAGGUUGUCCCCUUGAGGAGUGGCUUCCGGAGCUAACGCGUUAAGUCGACCGCCUGGGGAGUACGGCCGCAAGGUUAAAACUCAAAUGAAUUGACGGGGGCCCGCACAAGCGGUGGAGCAUGUGGUUUAAUUCGAUGCAACGCGAAGAACCUUACCUACUCUUGACAUCCAGAGAACUUAGCAGAGAUGCUUUGGUGCCUUCGGGAACUCUGAGACAGGUGCUGCAUGGCUGUCGUCAGCUCGUGUUGUGAAAUGUUGGGUUAAGUCCCGCAACGAGCGCAACCCUUAUCCUUUGUUGCCAGCGGUUCGGCCGGGAACUCAAAGGAGACUGCCAGUGAUAAACUGGAGGAAGUGGGGAUGACGUCAAGUCAUCAUGGCCCUUACGAGUAGGGCUACACACGUGCUACAAUGGCGUAUACAAAGAGAAGCGACCUCGCGAGAGCAAGCGGACCUCAUAAAGUACGUCGUAGUCCGGAUUGGAGUCUGCAACUCGA